rnacentral:rRNA from 1 species
UACGAAGGGGGCUAGCGUUGUUCGGAAUCACUGGGCGUAAAGCGCACGUAGGCGGAUCGUUAAGUCGGGGUUGAAAUCCCAGGGCUCAACCCUGGAACUGCCUUCGAUACUGGCGAUCUUCGAGUCCGGGAGAGGUGAGUGGAACUCCGAGUGUGGAGGUGAAAUUCGUAGAUAUUCGGAAGAACACCAGUGGCGAAGGCGGCUCACUGGCCCGGUACUGACGCUGAGGUGCGAAAGCGUGGGGAGCAAACAGG